rnacentral:tRNA from 1 species
AUCUAGGUGGCCCAGUGGAUAGGGCACCAGCCCCAGAGUCAGGAGGACCUGAGUUCAAAUCUGGUCUUAGAUA